rnacentral:lncRNA from 1 species
AUUUUUAAUAAGCAAUUUUGCCAACAUGUUUACUGGAAAGAUUACAACAUCUUCCUGUGCUGAGAAAACCCAAAGGGCCCAUUUAUCCCUGUAUUCUUGUUUGAACAGAGGGUCACGCUGCAGCCAAGGGGCUGCCGUUUCCCCCAGAAGGCAGGUCUGAGAUUUGCCUUCACACAGCACUAUGUCUGCGGGAGAGAAACUCCUUUCUCAGAGGAUACUGGAGUCAUCCCAAGCAAAUGGAACACCAGCAGCACAGAUGGACUGAGAACGACAGUCAGAGUCGCUGUGAUUUAAUAACCAUAGAUGCGGGAAGAGGAGGCUGAGCAUCCUGGUUCUAUUUGCUGUGCACGCCGUGAGUUGACAUGGGUUUAACCAAGAAAGGGCAAGGAACCCAAACAGCGUAAGAAAAGCAAACUGAACUGAGGCAAAGAAUGCUUUGUCCUAUCUCCGGUUCAGCCCUCAGGUGAUCAGGCUUUGCAUGCUUUUAAUUUGACGGCCAGGGAUAUUUGAGAAAACGUUCUGAGAACAAACGUGGCUGAAUAUUGAGCGUGACACAGAGUGUCACAAACGCUUAAAGCUUCAUGUCCUUCAGCCAACGGAGGGAGAUGUGAAGGGAACGAGUGUUUUCCGUCGGAACCAGGACGCGAGAACGUCCUCGCGUGAACGUGAGCCCCGGGACCGGGGGUCCUGUUGGAGCGAAGGGGGUGAGAAGGCCGGGGCUGCGGCUGCCAGCGGGAGAGGAGCGGCGAGAGCGGAGCGUGUGCGGCUGCGGCGCGGGGAGGCGGGCGGCGGGCGGGUAGGAGGCUGGUGCGAGCUGUUUGGCCACCGGAGCCAAUCGAAAGCUGGGGCUUGAUCCUCUUCUCGGGCAGUGGCUGAGAGGAGUCAGUGCCGAGCUCCCUUCUGCAGCCGGGACCCGGCCGAGCCGCCUCGCUGUCUCCCGGCACCGCGCUCUCCCACCGGGCGCCUAUGGGCAUCUGCAGCGAGCGAGGGCUUCGCACCACCGCCAGCGGCAGCGCCAGCGGGCGAGGACCGCGACCCCGCUCCACUCCGCCUUUGGACCUAUAGCCGGCAGUACGGAGCGCGCUGCGGACCCUUCCUCGCCUCACCGCAGGGGUUGUCUACUCCAUACUCAAUUCCAAUACAUAGCUGCUUUGUGGAAUGAAGUGCAGACUGACUUUUAAGGAACAAGAAGAGGUUGACAGGCAGAGAAGAUGGGAAAUACGUGAACAUACUCUGUGUUACUAUUGCAUGAGUUAAUGGAUUCAUCCAGUAAAGUCUCUGAAUAAAGAGAGAGAUUGCUCUCUCUUGUAUUUUGAU